rnacentral:tmRNA from 1 species
GGGGAUGUACUGGUUUCGACAGGGAUGAUGAUCUAUCAUAAGCGAGCCGAGUUUCCUGACCUGGGGUACUCGUAAAAGAACUGGGUCACUUAAACACAAACGCAAACAAUAAAUUUGCAUUAGCUGCUUAAUUGCAGCGUCACCUCUGGGCCUUAUCUCAGCCGCCUAGAGCUUGACCAACCCCUGCUGAGGUCCCUUUGAAAGAUGCUUUUCUAAUCUGAUAGUGCGGUAAAAUAGAAAUAGCCAUAACGCUUGGAUGUCGCCAUCCGUGAGUUAUGGCGAAACCCCAAUUGGCGACUGCGCUCGGAGAAAGUGUUAGUGAUUUGUUUUUGGACGAGGGUUCGACUCCCUCCAUCUCCACCA